AGCAGCCGCGGUAAUUCCAGCUCCAAUAGCGUAUAUUAAAGUUGCUGCAGUUAAAAAGCUCGUAGUUGAAUUUCGGGACUAAUAUGUUGGUCGUGCCUCGGUACGUACUGAUAUUUUUGGUUUCUCUCUUCUGACGAACCUUGAUGUCAUUAAUUUGGUGUCUUGGGAAAUCAGGACUGUUACUUUGAAAAAAUUAGAGUGUUUAAAGCAGGCUCACGCUUGAAUACAUUAGCAUGGAAUAAUGAAAUAGGACGUUUGAUUCUAUUUUGUUGGUUUCUAGGAUCGACGUAAUGAUUAAUAGGGAUAGUUGGGGGCAUUAGUAUUCAAUUGUCAGAGGUGAAAUUCUUGGAUUUAUUGAAGACUAACUACUGCGAAAGCAUUUGCCAAGGAUGUUUUCAUUAAUCAAGAACGAAAGUUAGGGGAUCGAAGACGAUCAGAUACCGUCGUAGUCUUAACCAUAAACUAUGCCGACUAGGGAUCGGAUGAUGUUAAUUUUUUAAUGACUCAUUCGGCGCCUUACG
rnacentral:rRNA from 1 species